rnacentral:sRNA from 1 species
CGACUCGAGCGAAGCGAGAGAACGUUGCGCAGCAACGGCCCGAAGGGCGAGGCGCUUUAGCGCCGAGUAAUCCUUCCCCCACCACCA